GGUGGGGUGACAGAGCGGUUUAAUGUGCUGGUCCUGAAAACCAGAAUGCUUGAAAGGGCAUCGCGAGUUCGAAUCUCGCCCCCACCGCCA
rnacentral:tRNA from 2 species